UAAACAAUUUAAUUUAGUUGUUGAUUUUAUUAAAUUAUUUUUAAUCGGUUUUAAGUGAAUUAGAUGUGUUUUAAACCAAUCUAUAUUAAUUAAUUAAAGUCUAUUAGAAAAAAUUAUGUUAGCUUUGUGCGCAUGCGCAUUAUGUUCCGUUGCCUCGGCGCCAAAGCCCAAAGGAAGUUUUACAGAAUCCAGUCAGAUUGAAGCAAGACGCCAGAGCCGGAGUUUUGUACAUCCAUUUGCACAGUACUGUACAACAAGUUUCCUUUGCUGAGUUCCUUGGUCAGGGGUUAAACACAUUUUCUGUCCAGUACUGCAGUUGGAAUUUUCCAUCAACAUUUUUAUGUUUUCACAGUACUAGGGUGCAGUAAGAGCACAAACACAGAGUUCAACUUUGAUUCAACUCCGUGAUUUUCUCAAGAGAGCCGACCAAAAUGUUUGACCUGCCAUAAAAUGAUUCGACUAUCUGCCGACCAAGAGAGGUUAUUCACCUUUUUUUUUCCUCCUGUACAUUGCAUCAACACAGCACAGCAAAUAUCAAAGUUGAAAUUUAAUUUGAUUCAAAGAAGAGUCGCAUCAGAAUUUGGCUCAAAAUUGCACAAUGCACAUUCGGCCUUAAGCCUGGUUUGUACUUCUGCGUUGAGUGAUUGGCGUGACCUACGGCGCCUGCCCUGCGUGCAGCUGAGCACUUAUACUUGUGCGCGCUGUUUGUGUUGUUCUACAAUAACACUUACAAAAGCAGUAGGUUUAUAUGUUCCCUCUGUAUGGAGUUUCUUCGCUUGGGUUUUGUUUUUUCUGAACACUACCUUAAUGAACAAGAAGAUAAAACUCGCUCAUUCUGAGGCGGGAGCCGGCAGUCAUGCAACAACUUUAAUCAUAAGGUAAACACAAAGCAACAGUUUCCACCUGGAGCUAUUUCAUGGGACUCUACACUUGUAAACACUCGCUCCAAUGGGUUGGCGUGGCUCUCAACCCCGCCCACACAUGUAAGCGCUACCAAGCCCACUAAUAGAGCGUGCGCUACGUGUUGUUGCGAUGUGUAGUUACAUUUUUGGAGAGAUGCGCCACGGCAAGGGCUAUUCGACUGCGCGCAGGCUGCGCCGCACCAUACACGUGCAUUUGAUGCAGAAGUAUAAAUCAGCCUUUACAUGUCUUUAUCUUGGCUGAGCAUGGUAAAUUACAAGGUAGUCAAAAAAAGAAAUCACUUUAAAUGUAGUGUAACUAAACAAACUAUUCACAAGUAAACAGUCAGUUGAUUAAAUAAAUUUGAGUAUCAUUAUAAAUGUAAUAUACAUGUAAGGGACAAUCGUCAGAUUUAGGUGUGUUAAAGGAUAAGUGCACAACAUCGAGGCAAAGUUUAAUGUUUAGAUUAUUACUGCAAGUUGAAAUUUAAUAUAGUUUUAAUUUCUAAAUAUAACAUUUUAAAAAUAAAUAUAUAGGCUAUGUUCUGAAUAAUGCUCAUGUCUAUGCUUAUCAUGCCACAAACAUACUUAUAUUCUAUGUAUUUGACGAUGCAGUCAAUGCAUGCACUGAAAAAAAUAUGCUUAUAGGCUACCUUUACCUGCAGGUUUCGCUAGCUGGGCAAAACUUAGAUAGGCUAUUAAUAAUGGAUAUACAUUAAAUAUGUAUAAUUUUAUUUGUGAAAGCAAGAGAGAAACUUGUGGGAGUGCUGUAAUAAAGGAGUCUCAAAUGACUAACAAUUGUACAUUACGGUAACGUGUUUUAUUCCGGACAUGGCAUAUGACAUAAAUAAUCGAUAACAUUUGAGCUGGUUUCAGUUAUUAAUUCUUUUUAUUUUUAAAAAUAUAUUUAUUUAACAG